rnacentral:rRNA from 1 species
UUGAACGCUGGCGGCCGGCCUAACACAUGCAAGUCGAGCGGAUGAAGGGAGCUUGCUCCUGGAUUCAGCGGCGGACGGGUGAGUAAUGCCUAGGAAUCUGCCUGGUAGUGGGGGAUAACGUCCGGAAACGGGCGCUAAUACCGCAUACGUCCUGAGGGAGAAAGUGGGGGAUCUUCGGACCUCACGCUAUCAGAUGAGCCUAGGUCGGAUUAGCUAGUUGGUGGGGUAAAGGCCUACCAAGGCGACGAUCCGUAACUGGUCUGAGAGGAUGAUCAGUCACACUGGAACUGAGACACGGUCCAGACUCCUACGGGAGGCAGCAGUGGGGAAUAUUGGACAAUGGGCGAAAGCCUGAUCCAGCCAUGCCGCGUGUGUGAAGAAGGUCUUCGGAUUGUAAAGCACUUUAAGUUGGGAGGAAGGGCAGUAAGUCAAUACCUUGCUGUUUUGACGUUACCAACAGAAUAAGCACCGGCUAACUCCGUG